GCCAGACUCCUACGGGAGGCAGCAGUGGGGAAUAUUGCGCAAUGGGGGAAACCCUGACGCAGCAACGCCGCGUGCAGGAAGAAGGUCUUCGGAUUGUAAACUGUUGUCGCAGGGGAAGAAGACAGUGACGGUACCCUGUGAGAAAGUCACGGCUAACUACGUGCCAGCAGCCGCGGUAAUACGUAGGUGACAAGCGUUGUCCGGAUUUACUGGGUGUAAAGGGCGCGUAGGCGGGAUAGCAAGUCAGUCGUGAAAUGCCGAGGCUUAACCUCGGAGCUGCGAUUGAAACUGUUAUUCUUGAGUAUCGGAGAGGAAAGCGGAAUUCCUAGUGUAGCGGUGAAAUGCGUAGAUAUUAGGAGGAACACCAGUGGCGAAGGCGACUUUCUGGACAAUAACUGACGUUGAGGCACGAAAGUGUGGGGAGCAAACAGGAUUAGAUACCCCAGUAGUA
rnacentral:rRNA from 1 species